AAGAAGAAAUGUAAAGAACGA
rnacentral:snRNA from 1 species